AAACAAAAUAAAAUUGAAUUAUAAUAAAAACUCGUAGACAAACUAAUCGAUACUUUAAGCGGUUUACAAUAAUGAGAUACGCAUUUGAACGCCAAAAUAAGACAACAUCGACUUUGUAAUAAUUUCAGUGUUUUCACAAACACUGUUUUGCAAUGGUGGUGGACGUGAUUAUUAUUAAAUUUUUUUGAAUUUCAAUGCUGCUAUGCCAAUGAAGCUUCAACAGUAUCAGUUCAAUCACUAACUGAGAAGAACAUACAAGAAUUUUAAGAAGAAGCUAUAAUAUUUUGCGCGAAGAAUAUUUAAACAUGAGAAAAUUUGUUUUGAUAUUUUUGUUUCAAAUGAUGAUAAUAAUUUCAUCAACGAUGAGCUAUCCGGUAGAGUCGAAUGAUACACCAAUUAAAAAAAUUGUCAUUCGACCAACAACUCGCAGUGAUUUGAUUCAAGCACAACAGCACCACACAAAAGUCCACAGUAAUCGCGGUCGAAAAAUUGAAUUGGGGCCAUCAAUUAUCAAAGUAUUAAAAAAACCAAGGAUUAAGGCGACGAAAACACCGAUGUCAAAUCAUUCAAAGAAAUUCGAUUCAAAAAUCCAUAUUUUACCAACCGGAGAAAAUUCUGUUCACUAUGCUAAAGCAAAAGCAAAUGGUAGUUUUCGUAAUAGUCCAAUUAGUUUGAUUAAUUGAUCGCAGAAAAAGAUUUAUUUGGUUCUUUAAUCCAGACAAUGUAUUGAACUAACUGGUCAACUGAGCUGACAGUACGUUAGCCAGAUAAAUGGGCUUAAACAAUAAAUGUUAUUGUUAUAAUGAUGAAUCACUUCUAUUGGUUUAAUCAAAGUGAUUGAUUACUAUAACAAUAACUUCUAUUGUUUCAUAUUCAUUUGGCUGGCUUACGUACUGUUAGCUCAGUUGACCAGUUAGUUCAAUAUAUUGUCUGGUUUUAUUCAUGUUAUGAAAAAAGUCAUAUAAAAAUUUACUAAUUUGAAUUCUAACACAUUUUAAAUAAAUUCAUAAAAAAUCGAUUUUUUGUCCCACAAAUUUUACAAAAAUUUCGAAAAAAACAUGACAUGACAUUGUUCAUGAUGACAAUAUAUAUAUAUUUGACUCGCUUAUCUAGAAGGAUGGGCAAAAUUGGCCUAACACUAGUACUAAAAUAUUGUGUAUAAAAGUUGUAAAAAAUCAAUAUAUUUUAACAAUGUAACAAUACA